UGUCAUCCUCAGAAUAAGCAUGGAAAAGAGACAGCAGGGCUGAUUCUUAAUCCACCUGUCCAACAGCUCUUCCUGAAUCCCAGAGGAGAAGCUAAACACUGGAGAUUAUUGAUUCUCAGGGAUCUGGCCCUGGAAAUGUCUUGAUGGAUGAGGAUGAAAAAAUCAUGGACCAGAGAGUGUGAAGCCUUCUACUCCUGCACCAUGGGAAGGAGUCACACUUUGCAACAGAUAUCUCACAUAGCUGUGUCCUGCCAGCUCCCUCAGCAACUCCUGAGGGGAGAGCACAGGCUUGGGGAUGAAAUCCAGAGGCAAAGCUGCAGCUCUGCAUGGAGCUCCAAUGGAUUGGAGUCCCCAGAGCCUGAGAUAAAAGCUGCAUCUCCCUCAGCAAAACCUGCCUGGGGUUCAGCAGCAGCUCUGACCCUGCAGCACAGCGAGGGGGGAUGGAUUACAAGUGCACCUUCUGUUGGAACAGCUGAUCCACCCAUGGAGGCAGGAAAACAGCUCCUCACACCUGUUGAGGGAGUGCUGGAAGGAGCAGGGCCUGACAGCAGCUGCUGCACACGGGCUAUUUUCCUAACAUGGACACAAGUCAUAAUGUUGAGUGAGAUUCCCAGCAAGAGGCUAACUGGGAGCCUACAGCUAGCAAAGCUCACAGCUGUGACUUGCCAAGCGAGAGCUGAGCCAAGAGCAAGAAGCCAUUAGAAGGGCUGCAGUGCUGUCAGAAAUCUGGAAGACAAAGGGGGCUCAUCCUCUCAAGGAUGCUGCCCCAGCACUGCAGUGCAUUAACCUCUGCUCAGAAGAUCCUCUACUCACCAAUCUUCCAGGCUGGGAGGUUAAUAAGGAGAGGCACCGAACAGUGAAUCUGGAAAUUAAAGAAAUUAAAAAAAAAAAAUUAAAAUUAAAAAAAAAAUUUAAAUUAAAGAAAUUAAUUAAAAAAUCAUUAAAAAAUUCCCAUAUGAAUUUACAGGUGACUUUAAAGUGUGUCUCUCUUCCUCUCCAGACCCUACACAUCUUUCAGCCAACUUUUACCCUGUUCUUAGACCCAGAGCUGUCUCCUCCCAUUUUCCACAGGUGGAAAACCAAAACCACUGCAUAUCCCAAUCCCUGCAGCAGCAGGGCAGGCAGGCUGG